rnacentral:rRNA from 1 species
GAUGAACGCUGGCGGCGUGCUUAACACAUGCAAGUCGAGCGAGAAGUUUUGAAAAGAUUCUUCGGAUGAAAUUUAAAAUGGAAAGCGGCGGACGGGUGAGUAACGCGUAGGCAACCUGCCCCAUACAAAGGGAUAGCAUUUGGAAACGAAUAUUAAUACCUUAUGAAACUUAACUAGUGCAUGCUAGGUAGGUCAAAGAUUUAUCGGUAUGGGAUGGGCCUGCGUCUGAUUAGCUAGUUGGUGAGGUAACGGCUCACCAAGGCGACGAUCAGUAGCCGACCUGAGAGGGUGAACGGCCACAUUGGAACUGAGACACGGUCCAAACUCCUACGGGAGGCAGCAGUGGGGAAUAUUGCACAAUGGGGGAAACCCUGAUGCAGCAACGCCGCGUGAACGAUGAGGGCCUUUGGGUCGUAAAGUUCUGUUCUAGGUGAUGAAAACUGACAGUAACCUAGGAGAAAGCCCCGGCUAACUCCGUG